UCCCUGGUAGCUCAGUGGUAAAGAAUCCGCCUACAAUGCUGGAGACGCAGGUUCAAUCCCUGCAUUGGGAA
rnacentral:tRNA from 1 species